UGUCUUCAGGGCAGGGUGUAAUUCCCGACCGGCGGUAUAGUCCGCGAGCCGUAUGGCAUGAACCGGUGUGAUUCCGGUACCGACAGUAGAGUCUGGAUGGAAGAAGAC
rnacentral:ncRNA from 1 species